GUGACCAUCACUUAUUUGCAUUGUAGUGUCCAGGAAGUGGAUCUCUUGUGUGGCCUGGUCCAGGCUGAGGUUGAUGGUGGGGUGGAAAUUGUUAAAAUCCAGGUGGAAUUCUUCAAUGGCCUCCUUCACGUGGGUCAAUAUGAUGAAGAUGUCAUCAAUGUAGCCCAGACAUCCCAUUUAUGAUGCCUGACAGUGUUAUUAACAGGAAAAUUAAUUGGAUUUGAACAAGCUGAAUAUGAAGUCACGCUAUGUUUUCUACCUAUAGUAACAGAAUUGUCAAGACUUUUGUUGUUGCAGCUACAAAUGGAAUCUGCCGUUUUACCUCUCCAAAUUAAUUGGGGGAUGAACUUUGACAUAGAGGAAGAAAUUUGUUUCUCUUGCCUGCUUACACUGAGGAGGACUAACUGGCUGAGUUUUCAUUCCAAGUGGAGAAUUCAUGUUUUUAAUGUUUAUUUUUUGUGCCUUUGAGACGAAAACAUUAAAAGGCUAAAUCAGAGGA